CUGGUGCUGAAGAGUCCCAAAAUAGGACGAAACGAAUGUCCAG
rnacentral:hammerhead_ribozyme from 1 species